rnacentral:rRNA from 1 species
CCUACGGGGGGCAGCAGUGAGGAAUAUUGGUCAAUGGACGAGAGUCUGAACCAGCCAAGUAGCGUGAAGGAUGACUGCCCUAUGGGUUGUAAACUUCUUUUAUAUGGGAAUAAAAUGUUCCACGUGUGGGAUUUUGUAUGUACCAUAUGAAUAAGGAUCGGCUAACUCCGUGCCAGCAGCCGCGGUAAUACGGAGGAUCCGAGCGUUAUCCGGAUUUAUUGGGUUUAAAGGGAGCGUAGGUGGAUUGUUAAGUCAGUUGUGAAAGUUUGCGGCUCAACCGUAAAAUUGCAGUUGAAACUGGCAGUCUUGAGUACAGUAGAGGUGGGCGGAAUUCGUGGUGUAGCGGUGAAAUGCUUAGAUAUCACGAAGAACUCCGAUUGCGAAGGCAGCUCACUGGACUGCAACUGACACUGAGGCUCGAAAGCGUGGGGAGCAAACAGGAUUAGAUACCCUUGUAGUC